rnacentral:rRNA from 1 species
UAGGUAGGUGGUCUUAUUUGUCUGGGGUGAAAUCCCUGAGCUUAACUCAGGAACUGCCCUAGAAACGGUGAGACUGGAGUACUGGAGAGGGUCGUGGAAUUCCCGGUGUAGCGGUGAAAUGCGUAGAGAUCGGGAGGAACACCAGAGGCGAAGGCGGCGACCUGGACAGUGACUGACACUCAACUACGAAAGCGUGGGGAGCAAACAGGAUUAGAUACCCUGGUAGUCCACGCUGUAAACGAUGGAUACUAGGUUUGGUGGGACUUGACCCCUGCCGAACCGGCGCUAACGCAAUAAGUAUCCCGCCUGGGAAGUACGGUCGCAAGACUAAA